rnacentral:rRNA from 1 species
AUGCUUAACACAUGCAAGUCGAACGGUAACAUGGAGAGCUUGCUCUCUGAUGACGAGUGGCGGACGGGUGAGUAACGCGUAGGAAUUUACCUUAUAGUGGGGGACAACCCGGGGAAACUCGGGCUAAUACCGCAUACGCCCUACGGGGGAAAGCGGGGGAUCUUUUAGACCUCGCGCUAUUAGAUGAGCCUACGUUGGAUUAGCUAGUUGGUGGGGUAAAGGCCUACCAAGGCGACGAUCCAUAGCUGGUCUGAGAGGACGAUCAGCCACACUGGGACUGAGACACGGCCCAGACUCCUACGGGAGGCAGCAGUGGGGAAUAUUGGACAAUGGGCGCAAGCCUGAUCCAGCAAUGCCGCGUGUGUGAAGAAGGCCUGCGGGUUGUAAAGCACUUUCAGUGGGGAGGAAAAGCCUGGCGUUAAUAGCGCGAGGUGAUGACAUUACUCACAGAAGAAGCACCGGCUAACUCCGUGCCAGCAGCCGCGGUAAUACGGAGGGUGCGAGCGUUAAUCGGAAUUACUGGGCGUAAAGCGCGCGUAGGCGGUUAUUUAAGUCAGAUGUGAAAGCCCCGGGCUUAACCUGGGAAUGGCAUUUGAUACUGGGUAACUGGAGUGCAGUAGAGGGGAGUGGAAUUUCCGGUGUAGCGGUGAAAUGCGUAGAGAUCGGAAGG